UCCGCUAUGGCGCAGUUGGACAGCGCACAUCGCACUACCUAUCCAGCGGUGAGGUCCAAGGUUCGAGUCCUUGUGGUGGAA
rnacentral:tRNA from 4 species